rnacentral:lncRNA from 1 species
CGAAAGGGCGGGGCGGGCCGUGUUCCCGCCGGAGGAACGAGGACGAGAGCCGUAAAGUGCCGCGGCUUGUAAUGCAAAAGGAGGCGGAGCAACGCGCGCCGGCGCGGGGUGCAUUGUGAGGAAAUGCGUGCGCAGGACCACACUGGCCCGCCACGCCCCCAUCCUGUGCCUAUAAAAACCCGAGACCCUAGCGGGCAGACACACAAGCUGCUGGACGUCUUGACGUACACAUCCAUGGAAGAAGAUACAAGUGGCUGGACAGCGAGAGGACGUCGAGGGAGCACGCUCGCGGAAGGGCACACUGGCAUGCAGGCGGGUAGUCGACCAGUGGAACUAGGCUGAGUUUGGCCUGGGCAGUCAGAGGAGAGCUGGGGCCGCCUAGCGACCCAACUCCAGAGAAAGACCAUCUCCCUUCUCGCUCCCCCAUCUACUGAGGGCUACUUCCACUCAAUAAAACUUCAUACUCAUUCUCCAA